UCUACGGGCGGCAGCAGUGGGGAAUAUUGGACAAUGGGCGAAAGCCUGAUCCAGCCAUGCCGCGUGUGUGAAGAAGGCCUUCGGGUUGUAAAGCACUUUCAGUGGGGAAGAAAGCCUUGGGGCUAAUACCCUCGAGGAAGGACAUCACCCACAGAAGAAGCACCGGCUAACUCCGUGCCAGCAGCCGCGGUAAUACGGAGGGUGCGAGCGUUAAUCGGAAUUACUGGGCGUAAAGCGCGCGUAGGCGGUCUGAUAAGCCGGUUGUGAAAGCCCCGGGCUCAACCUGGGAACGGCAUCCGGAACUGGCAGGCUAGAGUGCAGGAGAGGAAGGUAGAAUUCCCGGUGUAGCGGUGAAAUGCGUAGAGAUCGGGAGGAAUACCAGUGGCGAAGGCGGCCUUCUGGACUGACACUGACGCUGAGGUGCGAAAGCGUGGGUAGCAAACAGGAUUAGAUACCCUUGUAGUC
rnacentral:rRNA from 1 species